rnacentral:lncRNA from 1 species
CUGGAUUGGAAGGCUUACAAAGCACGUGGGAAGAUGUGAUGCAUAUAGUUAGUGUAAUCGGACGGUCCAUGUCAAACAGGUCAUUCUCAUAAAGUGUGCAUUCCUUUCUUUCUUUUCCCACGGAAAACAUUCAAGUGACAUAAUAAGCUUGGGCUUAACCAUGGUGGAGGUUAAAUACAACUUUGAAUAAUAGAGUAGAUUCGAAGGUCAUUCCUUGGCUAAACAAUGCGCUGGUUCCUUGUAACAUCUUUUUGUGCUCUGAAAACUGUGGUAAUGAUACUUAAAAGCCCACGAUUGUGUAUCGUUUACCCAGAUUAUGGAUACUGGAGUCAUCAUCUUCAUCUCUUAAAUGCCUAAUGAGUAGCUGACAAUCGCCUUCAAAGAUAACCUUUUUAAAACCCAUAAAUUUGACAGAUUAAAAUGUCAUUAAUAGAGCUUUACCCUCAGCCUCAAUUGGUGAAGUUGCCUCGCCUGAAUUUUCCGCUCCCGAAUUGUCCCUUAAGAUCCAUUCCAUGGAGCACAAAAGCAUAUGGAAAAAAAAAGAAGAAAGAGAAUCUGUUCACAAUCGCACAAAUGUCUC